GACGUAGGGGGCAAGCGUUGUCCGGAUUCAUUGGGCGUAAAGAGCUCGUAGGCGGCUUGGCAAGUCAGAUGUGAAACCCUCAGGCUUAACCUGGGGCCGCCAUCUGAUACUGCUAUGGCUAGAGUCCGGUAGGGGAUCGUGGAAUUCCUGGAGUAGCGGUGAAAUGCACAGAUCUCAGGAGGAACACCAGUGGCGAAGGCGGCGAUCUGGGCCGGUACUGACGCUGAGGCGCGAAAGCGUGGGGAGCAAACAGG
rnacentral:rRNA from 1 species